UCUUGAUUCAGUGACCGUUAGUUGUUACUUGUCUCUGAGUCGUUGUUGCAGUUGACAGCGUGCUAUCUUCUAUUACAUAAUAGUGUCCUAUAUUUUAUUGUUUAGAAUGGUUAUCGCUUCGUUUAAACAACUAUUCAAGAUAACUAAAAACUAUCGUGCUGGAUUUUAUAGAGGAGGCUCGCCUACCAAUCUGAAAAAUUCUCGAAAUAAAAACAAUCGAUAUCAAAAAUGAGUACCCUGUAGUUGAAAUAGAAAUACUUCGUCCAGUUAUAGAUGACGAUGAUGGUAUGAUUGAAACCAAAGAAACUCGUGUUGGUACCGAAGACGAAGAUUUAUCAGCUAGUUCACAAAAUAACGAAGAAGCUAGAGAAGAAACUCCUCUAAGUGAUAGUAGUUCGUCAAUUAAGAUUGAAAUUGGAACGAGAAGAACGAAAAAGCAGAAACAUCUUUCUCCAGACUCUUUAGAGUUAAAGAGUUUUCUCAAGAGUAAAAUUACAAUUGGUGACGAUCACUACUCUUAUAACAUUCGUAAAAUAAAACAACAACGAUACGGAGAACGUCAUCAUAAACACUCCAAAGAAACACUUUUUGUUUUUGGCCUUAAAUUCUGACAAAAUAGCUUCAAAGUCGAAAAGGGAAAAAUUGUUUCAAAAUUUUCCAUCAGUUGUUCAGGAUGUUCUGGAGGAGUUGUCAUCUGGUCAGAAUAAUAUAUAUAUAUAUAAGGGUAUAGUAGAUAUAUUGUUGAUCAAUACCGAUGAAGGUGAUGUCAGAGGCGAAUUGAUGGAAGCACUUGAGAACUGCAAUUUUAUUGAACGCAAAGGGGAGGCCUUUUCGGGUAACGGCUACCGCCAAGAAACGAAAAAGUACCGAACAAAAAAUCCAACACUUCCAACGUGGCGAUACAAACAAAAAAGCUAAACAAACUUUUUACUCCGAAAAGGCUAAUA